UCGGAUAUGGUGUAACGGCUAACAUUGCCGCCUCUCAUUCUCUCAUUCUCUGUCUCGCGGCAGCUCGGGGUUCGAUUCCCCGUAUCCGAA